rnacentral:lncRNA from 1 species
AUUCCUGACAGUUCAAAACUUAACUAUCAUUAAAACCAUGAUAACUGUGUGAUAUGACACUUUCACAGUAAAUUUGACCCUCCCAGGCACAGGUGUAGUGUGAGUUAAUGUUAAUGCAUAGCUGAUAUGGUUUUCUUAUCAUUAGGUAUUGGCUAUAUUAAUAUUAUAUUGUUUUGCAAACCAAAAGUGCACAUUGCUGCUAACUUAGUUUGUGAUUGAUGGUUGACAGUUUUUUUCUUUUCUCCCUGCAGCUCCUUUAUAGUCAACCCCCAUCACACCUUAUUGUCGUCAUUUUGAAAACCCAAAGGCACUUUUAAGAGCCAAGUCCAUCUAUCUAUCUAUCUAUCUAUCUAUCUAUCUAUCUAUCUAUCUAUCUAUCUAUCUAUCUAUCUAUCUAUCCAUCUAUCUAUCUAUCUAUCUAUCUAUCUAUCUAUCUAUCUUUCUAUCUAUCUAUCUAUCUAUCUAUCUAUCUAUCUAUCUGUCUGUCUGUCUGUCUGUCUGUCUGUCUGUCUGUCUGUCUGUCUGUCUGUCUGUCUGUCUGUCUGUCUGUCUAUCUAUCUGUCAGUCUGCCUGUCUGUCUGUCAGUCUGCCUGUCUGUUUGCCUGUCUGCCUUUCUGUCUGUCAGUCAUUUAUCAUGCCUGGGGGGUCGAUCCAAAAGAAGUGCCCCUUUUGUGAGUCCAUUUUAUUUUGUGCCCAAAACAAAUGCUCAUAUUGUAAAAUGGAGCAGCCUGUCCAUUAAGGAUGAAGCUAUAGUCCUGCUUGAGAAACUCCAUGCCAUGGGCUACAAGCCGGUUCUCCUUCUUGGCAAGGAGACAAAGACGGGAGCAACAAAUUGUGAAGUUUUAACGCCUCGUUGCGAACUCACUCUUCAGGCCCAGAACUCACUCCAGAAGAUGGGCUCAUUUUAUGAGUCUAUUUGUGAAGCCUACAGCUCUGACCUGAUCAGGGCUCAUGCAGAGCGAGCCCUAAACCUAAGCCCUGUGCAGACUGCUGAGGAGGUGGAGAACCCCAAAGACUUGCAGACUGCUGAGGAGGUGGAGAACCCCAAAGACUUGCAGACUGCUGAGGAGGUGGAGAACCCCAAAGACUUGCAGACUGCUGAGGUGCAGAGCAGAGGGUCAGACACGGGCACAGAGCUUAAUCCAAGACGAAAAAAGAAAACAGUCAGAGGCACCAAAGCAUCUGCCUGUGAGGAAAAAGACACAGAUAAGUAAGUUUAAAUGUUUCAUGUGUUUAAUCAUCAUGGCACAGAUAGGUCAGUCAAUAUGUUUACUUGCACACAAGAAAUCUGACUAUUACAAGUAAUCAGGCUAUGGCUGGAAAUCAGGUAAUGGUUUACAUGCGUUACCUUACUCUAAAAAUAUACAUGUAAAUGCACCCCAUCACCAAAUGUGAGAAUGCCUCAGUUAUCAGUCCUUCUGUCAGUGUGAUAACAUUGCUAGUUUUACCCAUGGUUAUUUUCCAUAGUUUCAUUGCUUAUUUUUUGUAACUACUUACAACAGAUUAUUAUUAUAAUUUUAUUAUAUUAUUUCAUAACAGACAACCUAUAAAAUUCCAACAGGCCUCGUGUGUCAUUAGACCAAAGUCUGAUUGCAACUUAAAGGUGCUGUAAGUGGUUGCAUUUAGCAAGAAAACAAAAAAGAAUUAUGUAAGCGUUACAUAGCUCUACAUUGUGACAGCCAUCAGUGGUUUGGGUGUUUUGUCAUUAACAUGGGGUCCUCCACUCUGCAGUAAACAGAAAAGACAUUUUCUGGUGUUCUGUUCCCUCUUUCAGCCAAUCAGUAGGGAGAACUCCACACAUUUCUUUUCCAUUUACUGCAGAGCACAGGGACUGGGAGACCCACGUCAAUGACCAAACACUCUAAAUCACUGAUGACUGUAGGACUAUAGAAUUAUUUAACACUUAUAUUAACACAAAUAUAUCACUUAUUUCUGCUUUAAGUCAUCAGGGUUGUAUUAUUUUGUUACUAAUCUAAAAAUAUAUGUACAUGUUUGUGAUGUUCACAGACUGCUCCUACCACUCUCGUCUAGAGGCUUUCCCCAUCAGACGAGUUGUAAAAGAAAGAUUGAGAAAUGUAAGACAGCAAUAAAAUAAUUCAUAGAGGGUUAUGAUUAUUAGAAUUGAGAAAAUUCCUUGUGAGUUAGAUUAAAGGAGUCAUAACCUGGAAAACACAUUUUCCCUUGUUAAUACAAGUAUAUUGUAGUUGGACCUCAGUUGAAACUUGCCUGAAAAUUUGGAGUUUGAAAGUGGUUCUGUUUUUUCGUUUGGCCUCUUUGUUGAAACCACAAGGGUACGCACCCAAAACAAGAGGUUUUCAUUCUGCUCCUCAGCUGACGUCAGCUCAGGAGCAGAAUGAAAACCUCUUGCUCUCAGGGGGACACAACAAGCUCAAUGUUUAUAAUUUAUUUGGCAAAUUCUUUUUUAAAAAUCAUUUUAAGACAAUCAAAGAGAGACAAGAUAUGUUAAAACACCAGGUGAUGAGUCCUUUAAAACAUAUUUUGUACUGAAAAAUUAAUUUAAAAACACUGUAAAUAUCAACUACAUCCCACUGUAUCAAUGAAAAUCGAUGAUUACUGCUAAAAAUAAAAGCUUAAUCCUAAGAAUGGAAUUAAUGAUUUUUUUUCUCUUUAUAGGGCAAAGAAGAAAUAUUGGUUGACUGGAAGCCCUGUCCAGUAUGGUAUAUAUUCAGCCUUUGUUCUGCUUCUUCUAGUCCCAUGUUGGAGAACAAACAUAUCCUACCACCAGUAGUCUAAUUUUUUUCACUGUUGCAUCAGUUAAAGCGACCCAUAUGUUUAUGCAUAAUUGAUUUACGUCAGAGUGUGUUUAAGAUUUUGUUUUGAUUGUGUUGUGUUGAUGUGUGCUUGAUUCAUGUUUAAAGGUUUAAGUUCAUUGGAAAGACUCAACAAGUACCAGUAACAGACAAAAACCCCUUCUGUUUUCAGUGGUAAGGAGUGGGCCCAUUCCUGGCAACCGAAGGAUUUUCUUCAAUGAAUGAAUUCAUAGUUUUUAGUUUUUUUGUACUUUAUAUUGUUUGCUAAUAUAAGUGACAUAUUAUUUGAUUGUUGUGUUUUUUUGUUGUUAUGAAAGAUAAAUAAAUUGUCAAAGAUGAACAUUUUUGGUUUUACUUCUCCAUGCAUCAUCUUAUUCAAAAACACAAUGUGAUAGUGUUAGUUGAUGAAAGGUAAUAGCUAAAGAAGAUGACGAAAAU